rnacentral:rRNA from 1 species
UUAAGCAUAUCAAUAAGCGAGGAAAAGAAACCACCAGGGAUUGCCUCAGUAACGGCGAGUGAAGCGGCAACAGCUCAAAUUUGAAAGCUGGCUCUUGCAGAGCCCGCAUUGUAAUUUGUAGAGGAUGCUUCAGGUGCGGCGCUGGUCUAAGUUCUUUGGAACAAGACGUCAUAGAGGGUGAGAAUCCCGUAUGUGACUAGCUGCCUGGACCUAUGUGAAGCUCCUUCGACGAGUCGAGUUGUUUGGGAAUGCAGCUCAAAAUGGGUGGUGUACUUCAUCUAAAGCUAAAUAUUGGCCAGAGACCGAUAGCGCACAAGUAGAGUGAUCGAAAGAUGAAAAGCACUUUGGAAAGAGAGUUAAACAGUACGUGAAAUUGUUGAAAGGGAAGCGCUUGCAAUCAGACUUGCGCGGCGUCGAUCAACCUGGGUUCUCCCUGGUGCACUCGGCGCUGCUCAGGCCAGCAUCAGUUUCAGCGGUUGGAUAAAGGCCUAGGGAACGUGGGUUACUUCGGUGACUGUUAUAGCCCUAGGUGCAAUGCAGCCUGUUGGGACUGAGGACCGCGCUUCGGCUAGGAUGCUGGCCGUAAUGGUUGUAAGCGACCCGUCUUUGAAACACGGACCAAGGAGUCUAACAUCUAUGCGAGUUUUUGGGUGKUAAACCCAUAGCGUAAUGAAAGUGAACGGAGGUGAGAACCCCUUAAGGGUGCCAUCAUCGACCGAUCCUUGAUGUCUUCGGAUGGAUUUGAGUAAGAGCAUAGCUGUUGGGACCCGAAAGAUGGUGAUCUAUACUUGAAUAGGGUGAAGCCAGAGGAAACUCUGGUGGAGGCUCGCAGCGGUUCUGACGUGCAAAUCGAUCGUCAAAUUUGAGUAUAGGGGCGAAAGACUAAUCGAACCAUUGAGAACAGAAAACUUCGCUAUUAGGUGGUUGAGAGGCCCUGCAAGGCCUAGUCGCUUCGGCGGCAACACUGUAAAACUGCGGGGACAGCUCCCUAGACACAGGCUACUACAGCGGGCUCGAAAGGGCUCGCCACAGUCACAACGCCUGGCGUCUGAGCCGAUCCGCACCCUCUGCCUACGGCCCCCUACCCGGUGGUGCUAUGGCGCAGGCCCAUCGACUAGAUGACAGUGGGUGCUCACAGCGCCUAAGGUAUAGUCAGACUGCAGCGGCACGCUGCAGGUGAAUCGCUAGUAGCUGGUUCACGCCGAAGUUU